CCUACGGGAGGCAGCAGUGAGGAAUAUUGGUCAAUGGGCUUACGCCUGAACCAGCCAAGUCGCGUGAGGGAAGACUGCCCUAUGGGUUGUAAACCUCUUUUGUCAGGGAGCAACGCCGGCUACGUGUAGCCGGACUGAGAGUACCUGAAGAAAAAGCAUCGGCUAACUCCGUGCCAGCAGCCGCGGUAAUACGGAGGAUGCGAGCGUUAUCCGGAUUUAUUGGGUUUACAGGGUGCGUAGGCGGAAUGCCAAGUCAGCGGUAAAAUCGCGGGGCUCAACCUCGCUCCGCCGUUGAAACUGGCGGUCUUGAGUGGGCGAGAAGUAUGCGGAAUGCGUGGGGUAGCGGUGAAAUGCAUAGAUAUCACGCAGAACGCCGAUUGCGAAGGCAGCAUACCGGCGCCCAACUGACGCUGAAGCACGAAAGCGUGGGUAUCGAACAGGAUUAGAUACCCCAGUAGUC
rnacentral:rRNA from 1 species